GAGUCCUGAAUCCUCAGGUCCCGUGACCACUUCCUCCUUGAAAUCCUCGAUCCUCAGGCUUCGGUGACAGAGGCUACUAUCCCAUCCCUCCUGAAUGUCCUUUAGGGCAGCCGCGCCCCCCAAUAGAGGACUUGGUUUCCCAGUUUCCAUGCAGUUAGGAUGGGCGAGUGGUUAAACUCUGGUCAGUAAGCAUCAGUGGAAAGUGUUGUGCGAAAUUCUGGGAAAUCUCCUUAAAGAGUAUUUCCUUCUCCACCCCAGCCUCCAUCAGCUGCCUGGAAUUUGAAUGUGAGGUCUGGGGUUUCAACAGCUAUCUUGGAGGUAGCGGAACUAGAAGCUGAAAUGAACCUGGGCUCUGGACUACUGACCGGAUCAACUUUGGUCCUGUUUAAACCAGUUUUUCUGGGUUUUCUGAGGCUGAACUACACCCUAAGUGAAACUUCUGUGACCACCAAGUCUUCUCACUGCUGCGCUCCUACAAGAGUCGAGAGAUGAAGCUAUCAGAAUAGUAUAAUAGAAAACAUUGGCAGGAGUGGGAAAUGAUAAAGGAGUGCCUAGAAGUGGACAAGAAGCCCACAAACCAGGACACCAGUUACACACCAAGCUAUGCUCAGGAAGUAUGGCCACCAGUGCUGUGAGGAACAGAUCCGGGGGACCAGGAACACAAUUGAUGGCUGGGCCCGGAGAGGCCACAGGUUUGGUCUUCAGACCAUGUGGUGACACAGGAAGAGAGAGGCCUUUCCAACCUAGUGUUUAAAGACACAACAACAGGGUAAGCAUUCUGGUUAUUUUUAGUUAAAGAAAAACAGCCUUUUCCAAGGGCAACAAAGUGAACUAAAGGUCAGAAGGAAGCUGGGUGUGGGCUUCUCACAGGCUCCUGCUCCAAAACCUGGAAGUGCGGAAAGAGAGCCCUCCCAGGAACUCUGGGGUGCCUGGAACAGCAGAAGGAUUCCUCUGGUGGGGCUGGGCACAGCUGCCAGACCAACCUUGGUCACUGGAUUGGUUUGCAUGGGCUCUAGGGCGAUUUCCACGGGCCAGUCAUUUGACAUGAUUAACACUAGUAUUCUUUGGGGCAUUACAUUAAGGAAUGAUACAGGGAGCCAGAAGAGUUGGCUUAUUCGGUUGGAUUCUGAAUCACAAUCAGGAAAUAGUCUUUAUCUGCAAAAGAGAGAAAUGGAAAAACAAAUCACUAAAUGUAAAAUGGCAGAAAAACAUAAUAGAAAGCAAGUAACUCCUUAAGUUACCACAAAGAGGGAGAAGGAGAAGAACGCUUUAAUAAAAAGCAUCAAUGCCAGGGUAUUUCCUAUUGCUCAGAAACAAGAUAAACUCGCCAGCUUCCUGUGGGGGCUCCUGCUGGUGGGGUUGCUGGGAAGUGAUCGCUCCCUUCAGAGACAGCAGGCCCUCAGAGGAGCCACCCAGUCUUCUUUUAGGUACUUGACAGCAGUUACUAGUUUACUGACUGUCUCAAACAAUAAAAAGGGCUGGGGAUACAGCUUAGUGGUAAAGCAUCCCUUGGUUCAAUCACCAGUACAAAAAAAAAAAAAAAAAAAGAGAGAGAAAAAUCAUAGGAAGUCCAAGUCCUCAGAGGUGAGCCUGACCAUCCUUAGUGUACAGAAGAAAAAUUAAAGAAGCAGAAAGUUUUAACUCUGCCCACUUCACAAUCAAAUCACAAACACUUACAAAGGCUUACAUGUACCAGGACCUGGGUGAACUGUUUUUCACUGGUACUUUGGGUAGAGUGCUUGCCUUGCAUGCACAAGGCCAUGGUUUCAAUCCCCAGCCCACCCGCCCAUAUCCUCAAGGCCAAAAAAAAAAAAGAAAAGAAAAGAAAUAUGUAUAUAUAUGGAAGAGAGGGAAGAAGGUUUGGCCUUAUGCUCUGAAACCCUCUGGUCUGCUGCCCCCCUGUUGGACAUGAAAGAGUGGCAGGAUCUCGGUCAUUUGUGGCUGCUCAGAUUCAAGUCUAAAGUUUGGAUCUUCCCAAGAUGACAGGAUGUUGCAACUGGGAAGAAACAGAAACAAAGGGACUACCAGUUUCAUGGCUAAGUAAUCUGCAUACAUAAAAGAAUGCUAUUAAAAUCAGAAAUAAUAAAAAGCCACUGAUAAAAACAGACACAAUCAACAAUACCAAUGUCUUUUAUAUCAAAUUACUAGUUCCAAGUCCUAUAAUACCAUGGCAAGUGCUCUGUGGGAGGUUGUAUUUUGAAGCUUGUUUAUGCUGAGUCAAUGUGGCUUUAUAUAAGUAAGGUUAAAAACUGAAAACCAAAUCUGUCUGAAAACGCUCUUUAGUGUGAAUUGUUCUGGGUCAGGAUGGGGUGAAAUUGGUACUUCUAUGGAGAGUCAAUUUCUGAAACCACCUACUGCUAUUACUGGCCUGGGAAGCAGAUUCAAGGCUUGACCAGGAAGUCAAUCAGAGGGGCAGGAAGGAACUGUUCCUGGCAGGGCUGCUCCAGGCUGCUCAGUGUGGGGUGCUAACUACAGUCCUUAUGGCAAUCCAGUCUAAUGCCUCCAAGGCUCUGGUCAGUGGCUCCUGCCUACGGGAGUUCUGGCACCAACACCUAAUAUUUUUUUCUUGGACACAUCAAAGUGUGUCAAAUCAUUGAUUUUCAUCCUGAAUACCAUGUCCCACAAACAUCCCUGACCCCAUUCCCAUUGUUGAUUCCACCUCUGUCCCAUAGUGGUGGGGUGUCAGUUAGGAAGCCAUUCCUUUAGUUAUUCAACAAAUAUUUAUUAAUAGAUAUUUGUUAAAUGUUUACUAUGCUUAGUAUAAAUAUUUACUAAAUGUUUCCAAGCCCCUGCCCUCAUGGAACUUACUGUCUAGUGGAGAAAACAGACUUAAAAUUGCACACAAGCAGCUGGAUGGCCAAGUGACAAGGAAGGAUGGAAUAUUCCCACAGCAAGAUAGCAUGUGGAAGGGCCCCAGGGAGAAGGAUGCAGGCUUUGAGAGCAACAGUGUGGCUGAGGCACAGCAGUGUGGGAAUCGGAAGAAACACCCGUUUUAAGGUGACGGUAUUGUACCACGCACUCUCCAGAAUAACACCCAGUAUGUGUGUGUGUGCCCGGCUAGGGGAGAGGUGAAGGUGAGCAAGAGAACAUUCACACUCUCUGCAGGACUUGUGCUGGCCCCGUGAGCGCUGGCCACUUUAAGGCCGUGGAGCCUGAGCCUGCGAACCCCUAACCUGGGAGCUGCCCAUCCCAGACUCAAGCACAUUCAUAGCUUCUGAAUGCCCACAGGUCCUCAAGGCCAAGUUUGAGAAGCUUGGCCUGAGACACACAUGACUGGGGGCUUUCACGCAACUCUGCCCUUUCAGGAGACAUUCUUAGAAGCUUCAGGUUGACAGACACUUUUCAUGGAGAGUUUGUCUAUGUGGCAACCAUGUCAUUUGCCCUUGCCGCACACUUUAAACUCCCAGAUGUGUCAAUGAGGAGCCCAGAUCUGCUGACACACAGAGUAACUCAAGGGAUGAUUCCUGGGUCCACCUUGAGGGCUGUGCAGAUGUGUCCUCCACAGUCAUACAGCAAGAAGUUUUGGGGGAUUUCAGUUCAAAUUUGAUUCCAAGGCUUUCUGCCCCAACCCAAGCCUAGACAUUUAUCCAGACAAAGUCUCAGAGGACCACAGCAGCAUAGUACCUGACUUGACAUUUUAUAGAUGUGGUUAUAGAGAUGUUCCAUGACUUGCCCAUAUAAGAAUUCACCGGAAAAAAAGAUUCCGUGCCUCCCCCAACUUUUUUCCCUAACAGAAUCAGGCGUCAGGGGCUGGGGUCAUGGCUCAAUGGUAGAGCGCUUGCCUUGCAUGUGUGAGGCACUGGGUUCGAUCCUCAGCAUCACAUAAUAAAAUAAAUAAAAUAAAGUUAUAAAAAAAUAGAAUCAGGCAUCAGUUGGUAUGAGAUGCAUUAAAUAUGUAAGGCUUUUUUUUUUUUUUUUUAAUUCCUCUUAAGUUACCUUUAUGUACUCUGUGACUGACUUGCUCUAUCUCCACCCUCUAGAGACUGUCCCAGGGAGGCUGGGGGCCCUGUGACUAGCUUUAUGGCUCUCUUUUUCCUAUCUUUCCAGACAACUGGACUGGGUUAAGAACAGACCUUGGAACAGAACCAAUGCUACCCUGCUGCUGGUAGUGGCUGACUGCCUAUCAAAUUCCCAGAAUUCUGCAGUGUUGCCAAGUGCAGGGACACUCAUAUCCCCAGUCUACCCACUGUGCUCCUUCAUCCAGGACCUACCCAACAAUCAUACCGCCCCCUGCCCUAAACACCUCUGCUCAUAGGAUCAAGUCCUCUCAGAUGAGUUUGGUGUCUGAGGCUCCUUUUAAGUUGGAUCAGUCUCACUUUCUACACAGGUUCUGACACUCUAGACAAGCAGUUACGGCAACCUAGCUGUAUCAUAAAGUGGGAACUGGGCCUGGGGAUGUGGCUCAAGCGGUAGCGCGCUCGCCUGGCAUGCGUGCGGCCCAGGUUCAUCCUCAGCACCACAUACAAACAAAGAUGUUGUGUCCACUGAAAAUUAAAAAAUAAAUAUUAAAAUUCUCUCUCUCUCAAGAAAAAAAAAAAAACACAACUUCAUAAAGUGGGAACUAACCUACACAUUCAACUAUGGCUCAGGCAAAACAGA